GCUGUGGGUCGGAACUGCGCUCAGCGAGCAGCUGGGCGCUGGAGGUAAAUCCAAGUAAAUGAUUUUCUGAAG
rnacentral:lncRNA from 1 species